rnacentral:lncRNA from 1 species
AAGUACACUGUAGCCGUCUUCAGACACUCCAGAAGAGGCAGUCAGAUUUCAUUACGGAUGGUUGUGAGCCACCAUGUGGUUGCUGGGACUUGAACUCCGGACCUUCGGAAGAGCAGUCGGGUGCUCUUACCCGCUGAGCCAUCUCACCAGCCCAGUCCCCAUCUUUGAAAGUACAUUCUGCCAAAUUAAUGAUAGUUAAGACUUCAUGUGCCUGUGAGAGGAAGAAUUCAGCCCACAGCAGAACGUAAAAUGGGGUCUGAAGGACAAGUUCAUUUGGAGGGAAGAGUUGGAACAGACCACAGUUGGGCCCUGCUUGAUAUGCAGUGCUGAAGAACUGGUCCACCAUCUCUCUGAAAACCAUCCAUGCUUCCAUGAAGCUGACCCAUUCCCUAGGAAUGCUGGUUGUUUAAGAAAAUUUAGCCUUUAGCCAUUCAGCAGAGCUUUUUUUUUUUUUAAACUCAGAAAGAAGAACACUCCAAGUCGCUUGCUUGCUUGCUUGCUUGGUUUUUUGAGACAGGGUUUCUCUGUGUAGCCCUGGCUGUCCUGGACCUCACUCUGUAGACCAGGCUGGCCUCGAACUCAGAAAUCUACCUGCCUCUGCCUCCCGAGUGCUGGGAUUAAAGGCUUGUGCCACCAUUGCCCAGCAAACACUCCAAGUCUUGUAAUGAAUCUACCAUCUUUAUUGAUUUCAGUAAGUUCUUUAACUAAGUACUAAGUGGCUUUCAAAGCUGGUUGCUCAUCAAACAAACCACCUGAGGAGUUUAAGAAGAAGAAAAAAAAAGACAAAAAAAAAAACCCAACUAUUCACCAUUGCCCUCCACAUCCUAGGGAUGUAGAGCAGAAUCUCAGACCUGGGCAUAAGCAUUGUUGUUGUUGUUGUUGUUUUAAUUUCCUCUAAAGCAAUUACAUAGGGAAAUGACUAUGGGAGAAGCUAGGUGUGGUAUACACAUUGCUCAUGGUAAAACGAUUACACCUCCGAGUAUGUUUGAGGCUUUUCAUAAAAGAACAGCAGCAUGAAGGUAAGAGGUUCCUUUAGAUGAUUCAGCCAUGCCACGGCCAUACCUGUCAUGCUGUCUGCUACUCUAGACCUGCCAUACUGUACUAAUGUUACUCAGUCAUUGCCACGCUGUACUGAUGUUACUCAGUCAUUGCCACGCUGUACUGAUGUUACUCAGUCAUUGCCACGCUGUACUGAUGUUACUCAGUCAUUGCCACGCUGUACUGAUGUUGCUCAGUCAUUGCCACGCUGUACUGAUGUUGCUCAGUCAUUGCCACGCUGUACUGAUGUUGCUCAGUCAUUGCCACGCUGUACUGAUGUUGCUCAGUCAUUGCCACGCUGUACUGAUGUUGCUCAGUCAUUGCCACGCUGUACUGAUGUUACUCAGUCAUUGCCACGCUGUACUGAUGUUACUCAGUCAUUGCCACGCUGUACUGAUGUUACUCAGUCAUUGAAGGAAAGAUUUAUUUUUUGGUGCUUACCGCCAUGCCUGAUAGCCAGAGCUUGAGUCUAGAAUUCCACAUAGUAUAAGGAGACAGGUGACUCUGGCUUACAGUUCUGUUACCUCUACAUGUGCAUACCCCAACACACACACACAGUAAAUAAAUAAAUAGGUAAGUAGCUUAAAAAACAAAAAAGAAAACACUGGUGGACUUCUGUCAUAUGCAGAGUCUUCUAUUAGAGGCUUGGAAUGUGGGGGCAAUGGAAAAGCUAUCUUUCUUUAAAACCAUAAGAAAUGCCUUUUGUUUUUUUUUCCUUAAGCAGAUUAUCAAAAUUGAGAUCCUGGCUUCUAUCAAUAGGAGCAAGUCAGUAGAAAGGACCGUAAAAACACAAACAGGACAGAAUUUGAGUGUCUAUAUCAAAGCAAGAUCUAGUCAGGUGUCAACAUGAGACUGUAGUGGAAUAAGAGGAGUGCAGGAGAUAAGGAGCACAGAUAUUGCCACAGGAGCAGAGAACAAUGGAGUGGCACUAUUAGAAGAUAUGGCCUUAUUGGAGGAGCUGUGUCACUGUGGGGACAGACUUUGAGGUCUCAAGUGCUGAAGCUACACCCCAGUGUGGCUCACAGUUUCCUUCUGCUGUCUAUAUAACAAGAUGUAGAGCUCUCAUCUCCUUCUCCAGCACCAUGUCUGCCUGCACAUGGCCGUGCUUCCUGCCAUGAUGAUAAUGAACUAAACCUCUGAACUGUAAGCCAGCCCCAAUUAAACAUUUUCCUUUAUAAGAGUUGCCACAGUCAUGACGUCUCUUCACAGCAAUAGAACUCUAAGACAAUGCCCUUGCUCAGCUAUUAUGGACCUUCUGAAAUAAUGUAUUAGGGUUCUCUAAAGUAACAGAAUUUAUAGAAUGAAUCUUUCUCUCUCACUCUCUCUCUCUUUCUCAUAUACAUAUACAUAUAUACAUAUAUAUGGGGAUCUAUUGAUACUCUCAUAUAUAUAUAUGGGGAUUUAUUGAUACUCAUAUGUAUAUAUAUGAAGGUGAUUUAUUGUGAAUGACUUAUAGGUUAUAGUCCAGCUAAUCCAACAAUGUCUGUCUAUGAACUGCAAGUCCAAAAAUCCAGUAUUUAUUCAGUCUACAAGACUGGAUGUCUCAGUUGGUCUUUAGUAUAUGCUGGAAUGUAGUCAAGUUGACAAGCAAGAAUAGUCAUCACAAACCAUAAGCCCAAAUUAAAUGUCUUCUUUUGUAACUUGUCAUGGUCAUGUGUCCUUUUGUUGUUGUUGUUGUUUUUGUUUUUUUGUUUUUUGCUUUUUGAGACAGGGUUUCUCUGUAUAGCCCUGGCUGUCCUGGAACUCACUUUGUAGACCAGGCUGGCCUCA